CCUACGGGUGGGCAGCAGUGAGGAAUAUUGGUCAAUGGACGAGAGUCUGAACCAGCCAAGUAGCGUGAAGGAUGACUGCCCUAUGGGUUGUAAACUUCUUUUAUAAAGGAAUAAAACGAGGCACGUGUGCCUUUUUGCAUGUACUUUAUGAAUAAGGAUCGGCUAACUCCGUGCCAGCAGCCGCGGUAAUACGGAGGAUCCGAGCGUUAUCCGGAUUUAUUGGGUUUAAAGGGAGCGUAGAUGGGUUGUUAAGUCAGUUGUGAAAGUUUGGGGCUCAACCUCUUCGAGCAGUUGAUACUGGGUGACUUGAGUGAGCGAGAAGUAUGCGGAAUGCGUGGUGUAGCGGUGAAAUGCGUAGAUAUCACGAAGAACUCCGGUGGCGAAGGCAGCAUACCGGCGCUCAACUGACGCUCAGGCACGAAAGUGUGGGUAGCGAACAGGAUUAGAUACCCGGGUAGUC
rnacentral:rRNA from 1 species